UCCUUCUUGUUAUUUUUUCCUGUGCGUCCUUGAAUCAUGCUACCUUCCUCAACCCAAUGAUCCAUUAGUUAAUGAGUUGCAACUUUGCUGUAAACGAGUACAACAAGCAAGGUAAUAAGCUGAAAUUCGAGAAGGUCUAAAUGGUGUUCUGAAACAACAUCCCAAGGGACCAACUACCGCAUCACGCUUUCUGCAUCAGAUGGUUCAACUCUAAAAAUUAUGCAGCCAUUGUAUUGGAUAAUCCAAUACAACAUGUUAGAAAACUGAUGAACUUUGCACCUAUUAAAGCCUAAAUCAUUAAAGUAGUUUAUUUUAUAAAAUCAUUUAUCUUUAGCCUUCAAAUUAGUGUACCAAUAAAAUGUAUGUUUUGUAAUCAGUAAUUGAUUAUUGAUCUAAAUAAUUAUCAAUUUAAAUUACGCAAAACUUCAUGUGGUUUUCUCUCUCCAGAAAGUUUGUGUAUAACUUUGUAAUUUUAGUGUUGGAGUAUUCAACGCAGGAAAAAUUAUAAUAUUUAUAAAAUAAUAUCAAAUUCAUUGGAUAAAUUUAGAGAAAAACAAUCCUACUCAAUUAUAGAAUUUAGUUUGUUAAAUAUUUUUUUGACAAAUCAAGAGUUUAUGUGUGUGAAUCAAUCAAAGAGAAUUCAUAGCCUCAUAUUUCUUACUGAAACAAUUUGUUUUAAUUGAAAACCUACUAUAAGUCAUGUGUAGGGUUAUCGAUGGGUUUUAAUGUAAUAAGUAUUUAAUAAAAAUUUCUUGUUCAGUUUUUUUAGAGUUUUUGAAAGUUACUAUAAUCAUUACAAAAGAUUAAUAAUAUUAUUGUAAAAACAAGAAUAUACAAAUGAAUAAAUAAUAAACAUUUGUAACUUAAUUUUUUAUUUAUAAAUCUCCUUUUAUAUAUUUUUCUUCUUGAAGAUUUUGAAUGUCUGCAGAGUAGAGUCUUAUUUUAUAAAAUCAAGGAUUAACAUCAAAAUCGAUGUUCAAAAACUGUAAAAUAAUCAAUACUCUUAACUCUUAAUAAUAACUCUUCAUUCCCAAUGUUUUUUUAAAAUUAUUAUAAUCGGUUUGUAAAUCUUUAAAUUAGUUUAUUCAUUUAAAGGUUAUCUUUCUUGAUAACAAUAAGAGCGGUUCCUUGAACAUAAAUAAUUAGUACAUAAAACAAUUAUAUGAAAUUUUUUAAUAUCAAUUGAAAGCAACCAAACCCCCUAUACAUAUAAACCUUAUUAUAUUAUCCAUUAUAAUUAUAUGUUUUGUUGUUUAAAUUUAAUGAAAACUCUCGUUGUUAUAACAUUGAGGAAAACAAUAUAAAAUCUCAUCAAAGAAGUUUGUAAAAUUAUUAUCAUAUAGUGCCAUGUUAUUAGUAGUAUUCUUUCUUUUAUACACCAAACUUUACAAAUUUGAUAUAUGUAUUCAUCAUGUUUAAAUAGAAAUAAAUAAAUAUAAUUAAUUAAACUCAAUUAUUUUUAAAAUUUUAAUUUUAGCUUCAUUCCUUUAUAUAAAAGACAAUUCAAUUCUUAGGUUCAUUGAAUAAUCAAUGUAUUUGGUCGGUUUAUAGAUUAGAUACAUGAUUAUUCUGAAUUUAAAAAAUGAUUUAUCUCUUAAAUAAAAGAAAAGUAGUAAAACUUUAUUAUUUACACAGAUUAAAAAUUAAGUUAUACAUUUAAUUUUAAAAAUGGCAUUAAUGUGUCACUUAGAAUUGUAUUUAAGGGAUUCAUGUCAUUCUUAAUAUACAAUGUCACCUCAAGUAUGUGUGUAUUAUUUUUUGAAUAUAAAAAAGUGACAGGAAAUUUGACUAAAUUAUAUUUAAAUAGUGUUUUUGGAUUAGAAAUAAUUUAUUUUACUUUAUUAUACUAAUUAACCUAUAAAUAAGAAUUACAUUUUACAAGACUUAUUGAGUAAUUGACAACUUACCAACUAAAAAAUCUCCAGAACAUAGUUUAUAAAUUUGAAAACUUAAAAUUAUUUUUAAAAAAAACAUUUUUUUUAUUAUUAUAAUUUUAAAAUACCAAAUUUGGUUGAUUGUGAGUUUGUAUAAAUUUUAAAAUUUAUUGAUGUAUUCAAAUUUAAAAAAAACUCAAAGGUAGCUAAUUUUAAACUAUUAUAUUUUUUAUUAAUAAACUAUUGUAAUUCUCAUUUAGAAAAAUUAUUACAUUUUAAAUUAAAUUAUACUCUUAGUUAAAAAAAAAAUAUAAAUGAUAUUUUUAAUUUAAUUAAGGAAGAAAAUUCAAUUAUACGUAAUAUUAGUUAAUUAAAUAUAUUAAUUAUAAAAAUAAAAAAAACUUUGAUUUUUUUUAAGUUGACACGGUACUAGUACAAUAAGAUUAACUUAUUAAAUUAGGGACGAUACAAAUUUCAUAUGGACAAAUUGUAAAAUUGAUAACUAUUAAGUUAUUAUAAUAAUAUUAUCUCAAAUUUCUAAAUUAUAUAUUUCUUUCUUAUGCUAUUUCUAUAUUUAUUAUUUUAUAUAAAGUUACUUAUUUUCUUUUAUAAACACAUAUAGAAAGGAUUAAUAAAAAUAUUGCAUUGAAUGUUGAAACAGUGGGUCAAAAAAUCCAAACAAUAUAAGAAAAAACCUUUAUAUAUAUAUAUAUUAUAUAUAAUAUAUAUAUAUAUAUAUAUAUAUAUAUAUAUAUAUAUAUAUAUUAUUUAUAAUAUAUAAUAAUAAUAUAUAUUUAUAAUAUAUAUAGAUAUAAAUAUUAAUAUAUAUACAUAUAUAUAUAUAUAUUAUAUAUAUAUAUAAUAUUAUAUUUAAAUAUAUAUUAUAUAGAUAUAUAUAUAUAUAUAAAUAUAUAUAUAUCUAUAUAUAUUUAUACUAUAUAUAAUAUCUAAUAUAUUAUACUAUAUAUUAUAUAUAUAAUAUUUAUUUAAUAUAAUAAUAAAUAAAAAAAUAAUAUAUAUUUAUAUGUUUAUAUAGUUUUUAAUAUUAAAAAGAAAUUAAUUAUAUAUAGAAUUAAUUAAUAGAUAACAACCUUACUUGAUCAGACUAACUCACUACCAGCCAAUUUGAAAAACUUAAAAAGUCAUAGUUACAAUCACAAUGAGAACUCAGUCUUUUUUUCUGAUUGUCCUUUUGUUAUUUUUCCUGUGCGUCUUGAAUCAUGCUACCUUCCCAACCCAAUGAUCCAUUAGUUAAUGAGUUGGCAACUUGCUGUAAACGAGUAACAAGCAACAGGUAAUAAGCUGAAAUUCGAGAAGGUCGUAUGGUGUAUCUGAAACAACAUCCCAAGGGACAACCACCGCAUCACCUUUCUGCAUCAGAUGGUUCAACCUCUAAAAAUUAUGCAGCCAUUGUAUUGGAUAAUCCAAUACAACAUUUAGAAAACUGAUGAACUUUCACCUAUUAAAGCCUAAAUCAUUAAAGUAGUUUAUUUUAUAAAAUCAUUUAUCUUUAGCCUUCAUUAGUGUACCAAUAAAAUGUAUGUUUUGUAUAUCAGUAAUUGAUUAUUGAUCUAAAAA
rnacentral:lncRNA from 1 species